GAUGAACGCUGGCGGCGUGCCUAAUACAUGCAAGUCGAGCGAACGGACGAGAAGCUUGCUUCUCUGAUGUUAGCGGCGGACGGGUGAGUAACACGUGGAUAACCUACCUAUAAGACUGGGAUAACUUCUGGAAACCGGAGCUAAUACCGGAUAAUAUUUUGAACCGCAUGGUUCAAAAGUGAAAGACGGUCUUGCUGUCACUUAUAGCUGGAUCCGCGCUGCAUUAGCUAGUUGGUAAGGUAACGGCUUACCAAGGCAACGAUGCAUAGCCGACCUGAGAGGGUGAUCGGCCACACUGGAACUGAGACACGGUACAGACUCCUACGGGAGGCAGCAGUAGGGAAUCUUCCGCAAUGGGAGAAAGCCUGACGGAGCAACGCCGCGUGAGUGAUGAAGGUCUUCGGAUCGUAAAACUCUGUUAUUAGGGAAGAACAUAUGUGUAAGUAACUGUGCACAUCUUGACGGUACCUAAUCAGAAAGCCACGGCUAACUACGU
rnacentral:rRNA from 1 species